rnacentral:rRNA from 1 species
AUUGAACGCUGGCGGCAGGCCUAACACAUGCAAGUCGAACGAGUGGCGGACGGGUGAGUAAUGUCUGGGAAUCUGACCGAUGGAGGGGGAUAACUACUGGAAACAGUAGCUAAUACCGCAUACUAUCGGAUGUGCCCAGGUGGGAUUAGCUAGUAGGUGGGGUAAAGGCUCACCUAGCCGACGAUCCCUAGCUGGUCUGAGAGGAUGACCAGCCACACUGGAACGGAGACACGGCCCAGACUCCUACGGGAGGCAGCAGUGGGGAAUAUUGCACAAUGGGCGCAAGCCUGAUGCGGCCAUGCCGCGUGUAUGAAGAAGGCCUUCGGGUUGUAAAGUUCUUUCAGCGAGGAGGCGUUACUCGCAGAAGAAGCACCGGCUAACUCCGUGCCAGCAGCCGCGGUAAUUC